GAUGAACGCUGGCGGCGUGCCUAAUACAUGCAAGUCGAGCGAACGGACGAGAAGCUUGCUUCUCUGAUGUUAGCGGCGGACGGGUGAGUAACACGUGGAUAACCUACCUAUAAGACUGGGAUAACUUCGGGAAACCGGAGCUAAUACCGGAUAAUAUUUUGAACCGCAUGGUUCAAAAGUGAAAGACGGUCUUGCUGUCACUUAUAGAUGGAUCCGCGCUGCAUUAGCUAGUUGGUAAGGUAACGGCUUACCAAGGCAACGAUGCAUAGCCGACCUGAGAGGGUGAUCGCCCACACUAGAACUGAGACGCGGACCAGACUCCUACGGGAGGCAGCAGUAGGGAAUCUUCCGCAAUAGGCGGAAGCCUGACGGAGCAACGCCGCGUGAGUGAUGAAGGUCUUCGGAUCGUAAAACUCUGUUAUUAGGGAAGAACAUAUGUGUAAGUAACUGUGCACAUCUUGACGGUACCUAAUCAGAAAGCCACGGCUAACUACGUG
rnacentral:rRNA from 1 species